rnacentral:misc_RNA from 1 species
GAUGAAGAACGCAGCGAAAUGCGAUACUAGGUGUGAAUUGCAGAAUCCCGUGAACCAUCGAGUCUUUGAACGCAAGUUGCGCCUCAAGCCAUUAGGUUGAGGGCACGUCUGCCUGGGCGUCACAUAUCGUUGCCUGAUGCCAGUUUCCUCGUGAUGGGUGACUGUGCAGGGCGAAUGAUGGCUUCCCGUGAGCAUUGUUGCCUCAUGGUUGGUUGAAAAUUGAGUCCUUGGUAGGGAGCGCCGUGAUAGAUGGUGGUUGAGUGACGAACGAGACCCAAUCAUGUGAGACCCCUACCGAAUUUGGCCUUCAUGACCCACAUGCGUCUUUGGAACGCUCAUGACGAGACCUCAGGUCAGGCGGGGCUACCCGCUGAGUUUAAGCAUAUCAAUAAGCGGAGGA